UUCUAGAAUCUGAAUGCUUGGAAGAGUGGCUGGCAACGAUCCUGAGGAGGCGACCCUGACCAGCUGGUGCUGGUAAUGGAUAGGCUCCCAUGGUGGUGUUUCUAACAUUAUUUCUGGAACCAUUGAGUGACAAGGGGGACAAGAUUCAGUGAGGGUCCACAUUUCCAGGACUCACCACCCCUUAGGGAUGGAUCAUGAAAUGGAGAUGUCUUGGCUGAGAAGGAGCAGACUCCAUUAUACUCAUGGAUGCCCUAGAAAGGAUUCACUAGCCCACCAAUACCCAGAACUGGCUGCUGUUGCUGUUUGCAAGAACCUGAACUGUAACACCGACAUCGGAGCCCCACCAUCCUUUAGCUAUGGAGAAGAGGAUGCUCCUGUGUUUCAUGGACAAAGAUGUACAAUCUAGCUAAAGAAGAGAAGAAACUUCAGCCAUCAUUUUAUAAUUCAAAAAAUGAUCUCAUUUUCAUUUGGGGGCAUAUCCCUGUGUUUGUUUCUAUAAGCAUGGCUUUUUAAUGGAAAUGGACCAAGAACGUAUAGACUUUGGUGAUGUAAAUGGAUCAUUAUUUCCUUAACAAGACUUACGAUGGCAAGCAUUUGUUGAAAUUAUUUGUCGAAAAGCGAGAUGCCAAGCUAAUGAAGGCUCCACUAAUGGACAGAGCACGGUUCUUAUAAUCCAGAUUAAUAUGCAACUGAACCGAUCAGGGGCAGACAAUUCAUCCAUUUAUUUAACAACCAGAUUGAGUUAUCUACUUCACUUCAGACAGCUUACCACACAGGGGAUGCAGUGGCUCAGAGGCCGCCUGAAGCGUACACACGCUGGGCGGAGACAGGACGUAAAUAAAUAAACACGGGAGUGGAUACAUUGCUGCGGUUAAAUGUAAAGAGGGCUCUGAUAGUGUAAAGAAGAAUAAGAUGACGUCUGCAGACACUGAGAGCUAGGGCGGGGCACUAUUGUCUUCAGUUUCAUGAUGUUUUGUUUCCCAGUGAGUGCAAAAGCAAUGGAUUCUUUAUGACAUGUUCCAUACAUGUUAUUGUGCUUUGUUCGUAUUUACCCUCCAUCAGACUUCCCGGUCCCACUUUCCC